rnacentral:rRNA from 1 species
ACGUAGGAAGCGAGCGUUAUCCGGAUUUAUUGGGCGUAAAGCGUGUGUAGGCGGUUUACUAAGUCUGAGAUUAAAGGCUAUGGCUUAACCAUAGUUUGUUUCAGAAACUGGUAGACUAGAGUGCAGUAGAGGCAAAUGGAAUUCAUAGUGUAGCGGUGGAAUGCGUAGAUAUUAUGAGGAACAUCAGUGGCGAAGGCGAUUUGCUGGGCUGUUACUGACGCUGAGACACGAAAGCGUGGGGAGCAAAUAG